UUUGACCUCAAAUCAGGUGGGACUACCCGCUGAACUUAAGCAUAUCAUA
rnacentral:rRNA from 2 species